AUGAAUGUAUGUAUGUGUGUAUGAAUGUCAGUGUCUGUAUGUAUGAAUGUAUGUUAGUGUCUGUAUGUAUGAAUGUAUGUUAGUGUCUGUAUGUAUGUAUGUAUGUUAGUGUCUGUAUGUAUGUAUGUAUGUGUCUGUAUGUAUGUAUGUUAGUGUCUGUAUGUAUGUUAGUGUGUCACUAUGUAUGCCUGUGUGUGUCUGUUUCAGUAUGUCUCAGUAUGUAUGCCUGUAUGUCUGUUUCAGUAUG